rnacentral:rRNA from 1 species
GACGAACGCUGGCGGCGUGCCUAAUACAUGCAAGUAGAACGCACAGUUUAUACCGUAGCUUGCUACACCAUAAACUGUGAGUUGCGAACGGGUGAGUAACGCGUAGGUAACCUGCCUGGUAGCGGGGGAUAACUAUUGGAAACGAUAGCUAAUACCGCAUAAUAUUGAUUAUUGCAUGAUAAUUGAUUGAAGGAUGCUAUUGCAUCACUACCAGAUGGACCUGCGUUGUAUUAGCUAGUAGGUGAGGUAACGGCUCACCUAGGCGACGAUACAUAGCCGACCUGAGAGGGUGAUCGGCCACACUGGGACUGAGACACGGCCCAGACUCCUACGGGAGGCAGCAGUAGGGAAUCUUCGGCAAUGGACGAAAGUCUGACCGAGCAACGCCGCGUGAGUGAAGAAGGUUUUCGGAUCGUAAAGCUCUGUUGUAAGAGAAGAACGGGUGUGAGAGUGGAAAGUUCACACUGUGACGGUAUCUUACCAGAAAGGGACGGCUAACUACGUG